rnacentral:rRNA from 1 species
UACGGGGGGUGCAAGCGUUGUUCGGAAUUACUGGGCGUAAAGGGCGCGUAGGCGGUUGGAUAAGUAAGCUGUGAAAACCACGGGCUUAACUCGUGGCCUGCAGUUGAGACUGUCUGGCUUGAGUGUGGGAGAGGAGAGUGGAAUUCCUGGUGUAGCGGUGAAAUGCGUAGAUAUCUGGAGGAACACCGGUGGCGAAGGCGGCAUCCUGGACCGGCAUUGACGCUGAGGCGCGAAAGCUAGGGGAGCAAACGGG